AUGGACCCGCGUGUGCAUAACGGUAGUUGGUGAGGUAACGGCUCACCAAGGCCACAAUGCAUGACCGACCUGAUGGGGUGAUCGGCCACACUGGGACUGAGACACGGGCCACACUCCUACGGGAGGCAGCAUGGGGGAAUCUUCGGCAAUGGACGAAAGUCUGACCGAGCAAAGGCCGCGUGGUUGAAGAAGGUUUUCGGAUCGUAAAAUUCUGUUGUUAGAGAAGAACAAGGACGUUAGUAACUGAACGUCCCCUGACGGUAUCUAACCAGAAAGCCACGGCUAACUACGUGCCAGCAGCCGCGGUAAUACGUAGGUGGCAAGCGUUGUCCGGAUUUAUUGGGGCGUAAAGCGAGCGCACAGCGGUUUCUUAAGUCUGGAUGUGAAAGCCCCCCGGGCUCAACCGGGGAGGGUCAUUGGAAACUGGGAGAGCUUGAGUGCAGAAGAAUGAGAGUGGAAUUUCCAUGUGUAGCGGUGAAAUGCGUAGAUAUAUGGGAGGAACACCCGUGGCGAAAGCGGCUCUCUGGUCUGUAACUGACGCUGAGGCUCGAAAGCGUGGGGAGCAAACAGGACUAGAUACCCUGGUAGUCCACGCCGUAAACGAUGACUGCUAGUGUUUGAAGGGUUUCCGCCCUUCAGUGCUGCAGCAAACGCAGUAAGGCAGCUCCGCCUGGGGAGUACGACCGGCAAUGUUGAAACUUCAAGGAAUUGACGGGGGGCCCGCACAAGCGGUCGAGCAUGUGGUUUAAUCCGAACUAACGCGUAGAACCUUACCCAGGCUUGACAUUCCUUUGACCACUCUACAGAUAGAGCUUUCCCUUCGGGGACAUGAGACCAGGUGGUGCAUGGUUGUCGUCAGCUCGUGUCGUGAGAUGUGGGGUAAAUUCCCGCAACAGGGCCAACCCUUUCGGUUGGUUGCCAUCAUUUAUUGGGCACUCUAAUGCCACUGGCCGUGGCAAACCGGGGGAAGGUGGGGAUGAGGUCAAAUCAGCAUGCCCCUUAUGGCCCGCACUACCCCCCUGGUACAAUGGGAAGUACAAAGAGUAAGUAGCCCGGGAGGUCCAACAAAUCUUUUAAAGCUUCUUUCAGUUCGGAUUGCAGGUUGCAACUUGCAUUCAUGAAGCUGGAAUCGCUAGUAAUCGCGGAUCAGCACGCCCCGGUGAAUACGUUUCCGGGCCUUUACACACCCCCCGUCACACCACGAGAAUUUGUAACCCCAGAAGUCGGGGAGGUAACCUGGACGCGCAGGUG
rnacentral:rRNA from 1 species